rnacentral:rRNA from 1 species
CCUACGGGAGGCUGCAGUGAGGAAUAUUGGUCAAUGGACGAGAGUCUGAACCAGCCAAGUAGCGUGAAGGAUGACUGCCCUAUGGGUUGUAAACUUCUUUUAUAUGGGAAUAAAACGUUCCACGUGUGGGAUUUUGUAUGUACCAUAUGAAUAAGGAUCGGCUAACUCCGUGCCAGCAGCCGCGGUAAUACGGAGGAUCCGAGCGUUAUCCGGAUUUAUUGGGUUUAAAGGGAGCGUAGGUGGAUUGUUAAGUCAGUUGUGAAAGUUUGCGGCUCAACCGUAAAAUUGCAGUUGAAACUGGCAGUCUUGAGUACAGUAGAGGUGGGCGGAAUUCGUGGUGGAGCGGUGAAAUGCUUAGAUAUCACGACGAACUCCGAUUGCGAAGGCAGUUCACUGGACUGCAACUGACACUGAGGCUCGAAAGUGUGGGUAUCAAACAGGAUUAGAUACCCCUGUAGUC